rnacentral:rRNA from 1 species
AGUGAACGCUGGCGGUAGGCCUAACACAUGCAAGUCGAACGGCAGCACAGUAAGAGCUUGCUCUUACGGGUGGCGAGUGGCGGACGGGUGAGGAAUACAUCGUAAUCUACUUUUUCGUGGGGGAUAACGUAGGGAAACUUACGCUAAUACCGCAUACGACCUACGGGUGAAAGCAGGGGAUCUUCUGACCUUGCGCGAUUGAAUGAGCCGCUGUCGGAUUAGCUAGUUGGCGGGGUAAAGGCCCACCAAGGCGACGAUCCGUAGCUGGUCUGAGAGGAUGAUCAGCCACACUGGAACUGAGACACGGUCCAGACUCCUACGGGAGGCAGCAGUGGGGAAUAUUGGACAAUGGGCGCAAGCCUGAUCCAGCCAUACCGCGUGGGUGAAGAAGGCCUUCGGGUUGUAAAGCCCUUUUGUUGGGAAAGAAAAGCAGCAGGUUAAUACCACGCUGUUCUGACGGUACCCAAAGAAUAAGCACCGGCUAACUUCGUG